rnacentral:rRNA from 1 species
UACGAAGGGGGCUAGCGUUAUUCGGAUUCACUGGGCGUAAAGGGUGCGCAGGCGGCCGUGUGUGUGAGGCGUGAAAGCCCUGGGCUUAACCUGGGAACUGCAUCCGAAACUGCCUUUCUGGAGUGAUGGAGAGGAGAGCGGAAUUCCCGGUGUAGAGGUGAAAUUCGUAGAUAUCGGGAGGAACACCAGUGGCGAAGGCGGCUCUCUGGCCAUCAACUGACGCUGAGACGCGAAAGCGUGGGGAGCAAACAGG